rnacentral:rRNA from 1 species
CCUACGGGAGGCAGCAGUGGGGAAUAUUGCACAAUGGGGGAAACCCUGAUGCAGCGACGCCGCGUGAGCGAUGAAGUAUUUCGGUAUGUAAAGCUCUAUCAGCAGGGAAGAAAAUGACGGUACCUGACUAAGAAGCCCCGGCUAACUACGUGCCAGCAGCCGCGGUAAUACGUAGGGGGCAAGCGUUAUCCGGAUUUACUGGGUGUAAAGGGAGCGUAGACGGCUUGGCAAGCCAGAUGUGAAAGGCUGGGGCUCAACCCCAGGACUGCAUUUGGAACUGUCAUGCUAGAGUGUCGGAGAGGCAG